rnacentral:rRNA from 1 species
GACGAACGCUGGCGGCGUGCUUAACACAUGCAAGUCGAACGGAAAGGCCCUGCUUUUGUGGUGUUCUCGAUUGGCAAACGGGUGAGUAACACGUGAGUAACCUGCCCUUGACUUUGGGAUAACUUCACGAAACUGGGGCUAAUACCGUAUAGGAUCUCCUGCUGCAUGGUGGGCGUUGGAAAGUUUCGGCUGUUGGGGAUGGACUCGCGGCUUAUCAGCUUGUUGGUGGGGUAGUGGCUUACCAAGGCUUUGACGGGUAGCCGGCCUGAGAGGGUGACCGGCCACAUUGGGACUGAGAUACGGAGCAGACUCCUACGGGAGGCAGCAGUGGGGAACAUUGCACAAUGGGCGGAAGCCUGAUGCAGAGACGCCGGGUGCGGGAUGACGGCCUUCGGGUUGUGAACCGCUUUAGCCUGUGACGAAGCGUGAGUGACGGUAAUGAGUAAAGAAGCACCGGCUAACUACGUG